GUGGCGAACGGGUGAGUAAUGCAUGGGUAAUCUGCCCCUAAGUUGGGAAUAACCUGUCGAAAGGCAGGCUAAUACCGAAUGUGAUUAUCUCUUCAUAAGAAGGGAUAAUUAAAGGGCUGAAAAGCCCGCUUAGGGAGGAGCUUAUGUCUGAUUAGCUAGUUGGUAGGGUAAUGGCCUACCAAGGCAAAGAUCAGUAGCUGGCCUGAGAGGGUGGUCAGCCACACUGGAACUGAGACACGGUCCAGACUCCUACGGGAGGCAGCAGUGGGGAAUAUUGCGCAAUGGGCGAAAGCCUGACGCAGCAACGCCGCGUGGGCGAUGAAGGUUUUCGGAUCGUAAAGCCCUUUUUGAGGGAACGAUAAUGACGGUACCCUCAGAAUAAGCCUCGGCUAACUCCGUGCCAGCAGCCGCGGUAAGACGGAUGAGGCGAGCGUUAUUCGGAUUUAUUGGGCAUACAGCGUGUUCAGGCGGAAAU
rnacentral:rRNA from 1 species